UUUCCAGACUCCUACGGGAGGCAGCAGUGAGGAAUAUUGGUCAAUGGCCGAGAGGCUGAACCAGCCAAGUCGCGUGAGGGAGGACGGCCCUACGGGUUGUAAACCUCUUUUGUCAGGGAGCAAGGGACAGGUCGUGACCUGUUGUGAGAGUACCUGAAGAAAAAGCAUCGGCUAACUCCGUGCCAGCAGCCGCGGUAAUACGGAGGAUGCGAGCGUUAUCCGGAUUUAUUGGGUUUAAAGGGUGCGCAGGCGGAGGUGCAGGUCAGCGGUCAAAUUGCGGGGCUCAACCCCGUACUGCCGUUGAAACUGCAUCCCUUGAGUGCGCGAGAAGUAUGCGGAAUGCGUGGUGUAGCGGUGAAAUGCAUAGAUAUCACGCAGAACUCCGAUUGCGAAGGCAGCAUACCGGCGCGCAACUGACGCUCAUGCACGAAAGCGUGGGUAUCGAACAGGAUUAGAUACCCCGGUAA
rnacentral:rRNA from 1 species